CCUCUCAGGGUCCCACCGCCCCUCUCAGGGUCCAGCCGCCCCUCUCAAGAGGCGUUCCUCUCUGAGGUCCCACCACCCCUCUCAGGGUCCCGCCGCCCCUCGCACGGUCCCGCUGCCUCUCGCAGGGGUCGCGCCCCUGUCAGGUCUCUUGCCCCACUCAGGGGUCCCGCCACCCCUCCCAGGGGUCCCAUCACUCCCUCCCAGGGGUCCCACCACUCCCUCCCGGCCGCAGGAGGGGUCCGGGGCUCUGCGGCAGCGCCUCCCGAGCCUGGGUCGUGUCUGACGGGCCCGCAGGGAGCCGCGCUCCGGCUCUCGCCCUGUCCUGCAUUGCGUUUGGGGGACAACGGAGGUUUUGGCCGUGGCGAGUGAGGUCUUGGUGCCAGGUGCUGACCGUGACACCCAGGAUCCCUGUGCCGGACUGUGGGAGCACAGGGCUGCCCCUUAGGUGGGGCAGAUGGCUGUGCAAUUUGCGUGAGUGUUUGCAAGAGCAGAGCUGAGACCUACACACAAUCCCUCUCUUCAGACCCAGUUCACUGAACUCCUUUGUCUGGCAAACCUUUCCACAAUGAAGUCAUGUGUAUAACUGAGGAUUAAAGAGUAAAAUACAGUCUUUUAAGCUUUGUAAA